CACAGUGUGGCGUAGUGGUUUGAGCGCUAGACUAUGCCUCAGGAGACCAGGAUUGAAAUCCCUGCUCGGCCA